AAAAGUAUUUUUUACUUAUAUUUCUAUAUUAUUAUAUUUUAAAUGUAAUAAUUUUUAGGAGAAUAAUAUAAUUAUUUAAAUAAUAAAUUAUUAUAAUUUGCAAUAGAUAAAUUUUUAUAUUUAAGAAAUUAAGAUAAAGUAAUAAUUUAAGUUUAAACAAAUUUUGUGCCAGCAGUUGCGGUUAUACAGAAUAUGCAAUAAAAAGUUUAAAAAAUUAGUUAAUAUUAUUAAUUAUUAAAUUUUAAAUUUGGAUUUUUAAGGUGAAAUUUUAAGUUUAAUUAAAUAUGAAUAUGAUGUAUGAAGCUAGUAAAUUUUAUAUUAAACUAGGAUUAGAUACCCUAUUAUUAAAAUAUAAUUAAAAUUUUUAUAUUAUUAUUAGUUAAAUUCUUAAAAGUAAAUAAAAUUGGCGGUAAUUUAUCUGUUUAGAGGAAUCUGUUUUGUAAGUGAUAUUCCACGUUUAUUUAUGCUUAAUGUUUUAAUUUACAUAUCGUCGUGGAUGAGAGUAUCUUUAUAAGGAAGUAAUAUUCAAUUUAAAUUUUAUAGGUAUAGCAGGUCAAGAUGUAGUUAAUAAUUAAGAAAUAAUGGAUUACUAUUACUUUAGUAUUGAAUUUUAAAUUUAAAAAUUUUAUGAAAUUGGAUUUAAAUGUAAUUAUUUAUAUAUUUAAAUAAUGAUUAAAGUUCUAAAUUAUGCACAUAUUGCCCGUCGCUUUCAUAUAAAAUGGAAUAAGUCGUAACAAAGUAGAUGUACUGGAAAGUGUCUCUAGAAACAA
rnacentral:ncRNA from 1 species